UACGUAGGGUGCAAGCGUUGUCCGGAAUUACUGGGCGUAAAGCGCACGUAGGCGGCUUUGUAAGUUAGAGGUGAAAGCCCGGGGCUCAACUCCGGAAUUGCCUUUAAGACUGCAUCGCUAGAAUUGUGGAGAGGUAAGUGGAAUUCCGAGUGUAGAGGUGAAAUUCGUAGAUAUUCGGAAGAACACCAGUGGCGAAGGCGACUUACUGGACACAUAUUGACGCUGAGGUGCGAAAGCGUGGGGAGCAAACAGG
rnacentral:rRNA from 1 species